rnacentral:rRNA from 1 species
AAUAGAUACCCCGGUAGUCCAUGCCGUAAACGUUGGGCACUAGGUGUGGGGGACAUUCCACGUUUUCCGCGCCGUAGCUAACGCAUUAAGUGCCCCGCCUGGGGAGUACGGCCGCAAGGCUAAAACUCAAAGGAAUUGACGGGGGCCCGCACAAGCGGCGGAGCAUGCGGAUUAAUUCGAUGCAACGCGAAGAGCCUUACCAAGGCUUGACAUGUUCCAGACCGGGCUAGAGAUAGUCCUUCCCUUCGGGGCUGGUUCACAGGUGGUGCAUGGUUGUCGUCAGCUCGUGUCGUGAGAUGUUGGGUUAAGUCCCGCAACGAGCGCAACCCUCGUUCCAUGUUGCCAGCACGUAGUGGUGGGGACUCAUGGGAGACUGCCGGGGUCAACUCGGAGGAAGGUGGGGAUGACGUCAAAUCAUCAUGCCCCUUAUGUCUUGGGCUUCACGCAUGCUACAAUGGCCGGUACAAUGGGUUGCGAUACUGUGAGGUGGAGCUAAUCCCUAAAAGCCGGUCUCAGUUCGGAUUGGGGUCUGCAACUCGACCCC